rnacentral:rRNA from 1 species
GACGAACGCUGGCGGCGUGCUUAACACAUGCAAGUCGAGCGGUAAGGCCCUUUCGGGGUACACGAGCGGCGAACGGGUGAGUAACACGUGGGUGACCUGCCCUUAGCUCUGGGAUAAGCCUGGGAAACUGGGGUCUAAUACCGGAUAUGACUCCAUGACGCAAUGUUGUGGGGUGGAAAGCCUUGUGCGGCUGAGGGAUGGGCCCGCGGCCUAUCAGCUUGUUGGUGGGGUGAUGGCCUACCAAGGCGACGACGGGUAGCCGGCCGUGAGAGGGCGAUCGGCCACCACUGGGACUGAGACACGGCCCAGACUCCUACGGGA